rnacentral:rRNA from 1 species
AUUGAACGCUGGCGGCAGGCCUAACACAUGCAAGUCGAACGAGUGGCGGACGGGUGAGUAAUGUCUGAGAAACUGCCCGAUGGAGGGGGAUAACUACUGGAAAAGGUAGCUAAUACCGCAUACCAUCGGAUGUGCCAAGAUGGGAUUAGCUAGUAGGUGGGGUAACGGCUAACCUAGGCGACGAUCCCUAGCUGGUCGGAGAGGAGGACCAGCCACACUGGAACUGAGACACGGUCCAGACUCCUACGGGAGGCAGCAGUGGGGAAUAUUGCACAAUGGGCGAAAGCCUGAUGAAGCCAUGCCGCGUGAAUGAAGAAGGUUUUCGGGUUGUAAAGUACUUUCAGCGGGGAGGCGUUACCCGCAGAAGAAGCCCCGGCUAACUCCGUGCCAGCAGCCGCGGUAAUUC